rnacentral:rRNA from 1 species
UACGUAGGGGGCUAGCGUUGUCCGGAAUCAUUGGGCGUAAAGCGCGUGUAGGCGGCCCCGAUAAGUCCGCUGUGAAAGUCCAGGGCUCAACCCUGGGAUGCCGGUGGAUACUGUCGGGCUCGAGUCCGGAAGAGGCGAGUGGAAUUCCUGGUGUAGCGGUGAAAGUGCGCAGAUAUCAGGAGGAACACCAAUGGCGAAGGCAGCUCGCUGGGACGUGACUGACGCUGAGACGCGAAAGCGUGGGGAGCAAACAGG